GACGAACGCUGGCGGCGUGCUUAACACAUGCAAGUCGAACGGAAAGGCCCUGCUUUUGUGGGGUGCUCGAGUGGCGAACGGGUGAGUAACACGUGAGUAACCUGCCCUUGACUUUGGGAUAACUUCCGGAAACUGGGGCUAAUACCGGAUAGGAGCUCCUGCUGCAUGGUGGGGGUUGGAAAGUUUCGGCGGUUGGGGAUGGACUCGCGGCUUAUCAGCUUGUUGGUGGGGUAGUGGCUUACCAAGGCUUUGACGGGUAGCCGGCCUGAGAGGGUGACCGGCCACAUGGGGACUGAGAUACGGCCCAGACGCCUACGGGAGGCAGAAGUGGGGAAUAUUGCACAAUGGGCGGGAGCCUGAUGCAGCAACGCCGCGUGCGGGAUGACGGCCUUCGGGUUGUAAACCGCUUUCGCCUGUGACGAAGCGUGAGUGACGGUAAUGGGUAAAGAAGCACCGGCUAACUACGUG
rnacentral:rRNA from 1 species